UACAGAGGGGGCAAGCGUUGUUCGGAAUUACUGGGCGUAAAGGGCGCGUAGGCGGCCUGCUAAGUCGAACGUGAAAUCCCUGGGCUCAACCCAGGAACUGCGUCCGAUACUGGUUGGCUUGAAUCCGGGAGAGGGACGUGGAAUUCCAGGUGUAGCGGUGAAAUGCGUAGAUAUCUGGAGGAACACCGGUGGCGAAGGCGGCCAUCUGGACCGCAACUGACGCUGAGGCGCGAA
rnacentral:rRNA from 1 species